rnacentral:rRNA from 1 species
GUUUGAUCCUGGCUCAGAUUGAACGCUGGCGGCAUGCUUUACACAUGCAAGUCGAACGGGGUUGGGAGCUUGCUUCCAAUCUAGUGGCGAACGGGUGAGUAAUACAUCGGAACGUACCGUGUAGUGGGGGAUAACGUAGCGAAAGUUACGCUAAUACCGCAUACGAUCCACGGAUGAAAGCAGGGGACCUUCGGGCCUUGUGCUAUACGAGCGGCCGAUGUCUGAUUAGCUAGUUGGUGAGGUAAAGGCUCACCAAGGCGACGAUCAGUAGCGGGUCUGAGAGGAUGAUCCGCCACACUGGGACUGAGACACGGCCCAGACUCCUACGGGAGGCAGCAGUGGGGAAUUUUGGACAAUGGGCGCAAGCCUGAUCCAGCCAUGCCGCGUGUCUGAAGAAGGCCU